rnacentral:tRNA from 1 species
GGGCGUGACUUUAAAGGAAGCACUCUGCAAAGGUGCUGUUGAGAUUUAAGUUGAUCUCCACGCCUU